GGUCUUGUAGUGUAGCGGUUAUCACAGUGGAUUCUGAGACUCCAUUGGACUUCCACUAACCCAAGUUAGAUUCCUGGCAUUGCAU